AGAGGGUGCAAACGUUGUUCGGAAUUACUGGGCAUAAAGCGCAUGUAGGCGGCCUCGUAAGUGUCGGAUGAAAUCCCACGGCCUACCCGUGGAACUGUUCGGCAUACUGCGAGGCUAGAGGAUGGUAGAGGAGAGCGGAACUCUUGGUGGAGCGGUGAAAUGCGUAGAUAUCAAGAGGAACACCGGUGGCGAAGGCGGCUCUCUGGUCCAUUACUGACGCUGAGGUGCGAAAGCUAGGGGAGCAAACGGGAUUAGAUACCCCGGUAGUCCUAGCUGUAAACGAUGGGCACUAACUAGAAGUCUCUCCUGUGAGGUUUCUGGUGAAGCAAAUGUGAUAAGUGCCCCGCCUGGGAAGUACGGUCGCAAGGCUA
rnacentral:rRNA from 1 species